AGAGAAGGAGAAUGAAGAAGAAAAAGAAUACGAAUAAAAAGAUGAAGAAGAAAAUAAGGAAGAAAAAGAAGAAUAAAGAAAGCAAAGAAAUAAGAAAACAAAGAAGAGAUAGAGAAGGAAAAAAGUAAGCCGACAGAGGAAGAAAAGAAGAAGUCAAAGAACAAGAAGUGGUAGCGAAGGAGAGGACAAGGAAUAAGUGGC
rnacentral:lncRNA from 1 species